GCACUCACUUUGGCAGCACAUAUACUGAAAUUGGAAUGAUACAGAGAAGAUUAGCAUGUCUUCUCUGCAAAGAUGACAUACAAAUUCAUGAAGUGUUUCAUAUUAGA